UAUAAAAAAAAUUAUCCAUUUCUAUUGUUAAAAAUUGGUGUGGCUAAUAGAAUAACUAAACAAUUAAACAUGGCAUGUCAUAUUACCUCAUUCUGACAUACAUGGAUCAGUUUUUAAUAGUAGAAAUGGAUGAAUUUUUUAAUA
rfam:Gossypium raimondii Chr04_contig_171, whole genome shotgun sequence.